rnacentral:lncRNA from 1 species
AUAUUGACUAAAAAUAAUUGAAAUAAAGGUAAAAUUUUGAAAGAAUUUUUGAUUAAUUUUUAUAAUAUCACUAAUAUUCUUUUUGAUGUUUAUUAUCUAAUCUCUUAUUUAUUUUUACAAUAAGUAUAUUUUAUUAAUCAAAAAUUUAUACAACAUAGAUAAGAUGAUAUUUUAGAGCUUAUUAUUUAUGAAAUAAAAUCUAAAUAAAAUGAGUACUGGGAUAGAAUAUGUCCUAUGCAUAACUUAACUGCUAUAUUUGAUCUACAUAUUAAGUUAAGUGGUGUGC